rnacentral:rRNA from 1 species
UGUGACUGCGUACCUUUUGUAUAAUGGGUCAGCGACUUAUAUUCUGUAGCAAGGUUAACCGAAUAGGGGAGCCGGAGGGAAACCGAGUCUUAAUUGGGCGUUAAGUUGCAGGGUAUAGACCCGAAACCCGGUGAUCUAGCCAUGGGCAGGUUGAAGGUUGGGUAACACUAACUGGAGGACCGAACCGACUAAUGUUGAAAAAUUAGCGGAUGACCUGUGGCUGGGGGUGAAAGGCCAAUCAAACCGGGAGAUAGCUGGUUCUCCCCGAAAGCUAUUUAGGUAGCGCCUCGUGAACUCAUCUCCGGGGGUAGAGCACUGUUUCGGCUAGGGGGCCAUCCCGGCUUACCAACCCGAUGCAAACUGCGAAUACCGGAGAAUGUUAUCACGGGAGACACACGGCGGGUGCUAACGUCCGUCGUGAAGAGGGAAACAACCCAGACCGCCAGCUAAGGUCCCAAAGUCAUGGUUAAGUGGGAAACGAUGUGGGAAGGCCCAGACAGCCAGGAUGUUGGCUUAGAAGCAGCCAUCAUUUAAAGAAAGCGUAAUAGCUCACUGGUCGAGUCGGCCUGCGCGGAAGAUGUAACGGGGCUAAACCAUGCACCGAAGCUGCGGCAGCGAACGUAUCACCCAAGACAACUUUACGGAGUUGACGAUUGACGGAGCGAAGCGACGUCAAAGCGUUCAUUAAAGUCGAGUUGGCUUAGGGAUACGUUCGUUGGGUAGGGGAGCGUUCUGUAAGCCUGUGAAGGUGGCCUGUGAGGGUUGCUGGAGGUAUCAGAAGUGCGAAUGCUGACAUAAGUAACGAUAAAGCGGGUGAAAAGCCCGCUCGCCGGAAGACCAAGGGUUCCUGUCCAACGUUAAUCGGGGCAGGGUGAGUCGACCCCUAAGGCGAGGCCGAAAGGCGUAGUCGAUGGGAAACGGGUUAAUAUUCCCGUACUUGGUGUUACUGCGAAGGGGGGACGGAGAAGGCUAUGUUGGCCGGGCGACGGUUGUCCCGGUUUAAGCGUGUAGGUGUGUGUUCCAGGUAAAUCCGGUUCACUUUAACACUGAGGCGUGACGACGAGGCACUACGGUGCUGAAGCAACAAAUGCCCUGCUUCCAGGAAAAGCCUCUAAGCAUCAGGUAACAUCAAAUCGUACCCCAAACCGACACAGGUGGUCAGGUAGAGAAUACCAAGGCGCUUGAGAGAACUCGGGUGAAGGAACUAGGCAAAAUGGUGCCGUAACUUCGGGAGAAGGCACGCUGACACGUAGGUGAAGUGAUUUACUCAUGGAGCUGAAGUCAGUCGAAGAUACCAGCUGGCUGCAACUGUUUAUUAAAAACACAGCACUGUGCAAACACGAAAGUGGACGUAUACGGUGUGACGCCUGCCCGGUGCCGGAAGGUUAAUUGAUGGGGUCAGCGCAAGCGAAGCUCCUGAUCGAAGCCCCGGUAAACGGCGGCCGUAACUAUAACGGUCCUAAGGUAGCGAAAUUCCUUGUCGGGUAAGUUCCGACCUGCACGAAUGGCGUAAUGAUGGCCAGGCUGUCUCCACCCGAGACUCAGUGAAAUUGAACUCGCUGUGAAGAUGCAGUGUACCCGCGGCAAGACGGAAAGACCCCGUGAACCUUUACUAUAGCUUGACACUGAACAUUGAGCCUUGAUGUGUAG